rnacentral:tRNA from 1 species
UGGGGAAUCGUCUAACGGCAGGACAGAGGACUCUGACUCCUCUAAUCAAGGUUCGAAUCCUUGUUCCCCAGCCA